GGAUUGUAGCUCAGUGGUAGAGCACUUGUUUAGCAUGUGUGAAGCCCUGGGUUUGAUCCUCAGCACCA
rnacentral:tRNA from 1 species